AACCAAAUCGGGCUAUAAAAUGUAUAAGAUCAUUUUAAUAAAAAUUACCAAUACUAUGUCUAAUAGAAACUAUCGGUAAAUUCAUUGAAAAUUAUAUCAAAAUCUAAUACUUUCUACCAGUUCGUCGAUAUCGGGCAGUAUCCGGUGAAAGAUACUAGAAAAUCCAAUAAAUCUUAAGAACUUUCAACAGUUUUUGAAAUGUAUUGGGAAAUCCAGUAGAUUUGUUCGUUGAGUUUUCGAUACCUGUUCAGACUCAGAGUAAGUAAACCAGCAGCCGGCAAACGUAAAAUGAAUUUAAACAGGACGUCUGGUGUAUUUAUGACCCCAGUUUGUUCAUCAGGGUGGUGCGGAAUCGGAAAAUCCUUAUGCAGCGAAUAAUCAAACAGCUAGUGAUAAAAAAUUUCCUCAAGAAUGUUAAAACUCGUCCUAAUGCAUGAUUAUGAUCCGGAAAAAGCUCACUGGAGGUUCAUCAUAUUUAACACACAUUAACUUGAGAAUAAUAAUAAUUAUUAAGCUACAAUUUGAAAAAUCUGAUGAAUACCGCUCGCUGUUCCUUCAUUCCAUUUCCGGCCCGCGAGACUCUUUAGGAACCAGAAGUACUUCCGGACCUGCCACCGAUUCUAGUUGAACAGAUCUUCGCGAUUAUGAGAAGUUUUUAAUCGGUGACAACAUAUUAACGGAGCUUGGAAUGACGUGUGGAAUCCUUAAACUGGAACAGUACUGCUGAGAACAAUAGAACCGAGUCCGGAAUGUUCACCAAAUGUACAUGGCCAAUUGAUUGGAACGGAAA